UUCCUACGGGAGGCAGCAGUGAGGAAUAUUGGUCAAUGGGCGCGAGCCUGAACCAGCCAAGUCGCGUGAGGGAAGACGGUCCUAUGGAUUGUAAACCUCUUUUGUCGGGGAGCAAAAGACGCCACGCGUGGCGUUCCGAGAGUACCCGAAGAAAAAGCAUCGGCUAACUCCAUGCCAGCAGCCGCGGCAAUACGGAGGAUGCGAGCGUUAUCCGGAUUUAUUGGGUUUAAAGGGUGCGCAGGCGGCACGGCAAGCCGGCGGUCAAAUCGCGGGGCUCAACCCCGCCCAGCCGUCGGAACUGCCGG
rnacentral:rRNA from 1 species